ACAAGUUCUCGGGGCGGGGUGCAACUCCCCACCGGCGGUAAUCGUGCGGCGCCACCCGGCGUCAUCGCGUAGCCCGCGAGCGCCCGGCCAUCGAUGUUUCGGCGGCCGGGGUCAGCAGACCUGGUGAGAUCCCGGGGCCGACGGUCAUAGUCCGGAUGAAAGAGAACGGGA
rnacentral:ncRNA from 2 species